GACGAACGCUGGCGGCGUGCUUAACACAUGCAAGUCGAACGGAAAGGCCCUGCUUUUGUGGGGUGCUCGAGUGGCGAACGGGUGAGUAACACGUGAGUAACCUGUCCUUGACUUUGGGAUAACUUCAGGAAACUGGGGCUAAUACCGGAUAGGAGCUCCUGCUGCAUGGUGGGGGUUGGAAAGUUUCGGCGGUUGGGGAUGGACUCGCGGCUUAUCAGCUUGUUGGUGGGGUAGUGGCUUACCAAGGCUUUGACGGGUAGCCGGCCUGAGAGGGUGACCGGGCAAAUGGGGAAGGGGAUACGGCCCAGACUCCUAGGGGGGGCAGCGGGGGGGAAUAUUGCACAAGGGGCGGAAGCCGGAUGAAGCAACGCCGGGGGGGGGAUGACGGCCUUCGGGUUGUAAACCGUUUUCGUCUGUGACGAAGCGUGGGUGACGGUAAUGGGGAAAGAAGCACCGGCUAACUACGU
rnacentral:rRNA from 1 species